rnacentral:lncRNA from 1 species
AUCUUUUUGUCCAAAGUUUGUUCCUUUCUUUCGGAGGCGAUACUGUUUUUUGUUGAUUAUGGCUGUUAUAUCAAUUGCAAAAGUUUGUUUGACAUAAUUUUCAGUUUUUGAGUAGUACUGCUUUCAAGAUACUUCUGUAUUACUUUCUUAUGUUUUGCAUUUACAAAAUAUUUUAAUAUGUAUUCUGCUUAUGCUAUUUGAAAGGACUAAACACAUUGUAUUUAUAGAACUAAAGCUCUUUUUUGAUAUAUUACUUUUUUGUUCUCUCCAAGGUCUACAAUUUCGGUACUUGAUAUCGUAUCGUUACUUUAUCGGUUCAGUAUAGUACGAUAUACCUUUGUACUGAAAUAACUUUCUAGCUAUUUUUUCAAAUUUUAUCUCGGUACGGACCGCUAUACACCUCAGUACACCUUAGUAUGUGCGGUACAGGGCAGUAUGCCUCGGUACGGGCGGUACAGGGCUUGUACCGACUUGAAGGUAAGUUUUGUACCCAUUUUCUUCUGGUACCAUACGAUGCACCUCGUACCAGAUGGUAUGGGGUAGUACAGUAGACUAUGGUUCUCUCUCUCUCUCUCAACCAAAAAAAAGGAAUGAACUUUCUAAAACGAAUCAAACUAGAUACUCAAGAUUCAUCAUGUUACUCUCCAAAAUCAUCUUCCUCAGUUGUGAAAGCUAUGAAGAUUUAUUCUGGCUGAUUGGCUUUAAUGAAGUAGAUCUCCAAAGUUUGAUGUGAUAGUCUCAACAUCUCCAAAGUGGCAAUCUUGCCAGAAGUUAGUCUCUGACCAUCAUCAGAAAUCACUGAUUUGAUUGCUGGUGGUAAUUGCUGAAUGUGCUAGACGUCUUUUUUCUCCAUUGGUGAAUGAAUGCAGAACCUUGAUGAGCUUUAGUU